UCUUUGUAGUGACGGCCGACU
rnacentral:misc_RNA from 1 species